rnacentral:rRNA from 1 species
AGCGACUGUGCAGGUUACCGCGGCUGCUGGCACGGAGUUAGCCGGUGCUUCUUCUGUGAGUGAUGUCCUUCCUGCCGGCUAUUAACCCGCAGGCCUUCUUCCUCACUGAAAGUGCUUUACAACCCGAAGGCCUUCUUCACACACGCGGCGAUGGCUGGAUCAGGGUUGCCCCCAUUGUCCAAUAUUCCCCACUGCUGCCUCCCGUAGGAGUCUGGGCCGUGUCUCAGUCCCAGUGUGGCUGAUCAUCCUCGUCAGACCAGCUACGGAUCGUCGCCUUGGUGAGCCGUUACCUCACCAACCAGCUAAUCCGACAUAGGCUCAUCCGAUAGCGCGAGGCCCGAAGGUCCCCCGCUUUCCCCCGUAGGGCGUAUGCGGUAUUAGCCUGGGUUUCCCCAGGUUAUCCCCCACUACCGGGCAGAUUCCUAUGCAUUACUCACCCGUCCGCCGUCUCGCCACCAGGGAGCAAGCUCCCCCGUG